CUACACAUGCAGUCGAACGGUAACAGGAAGCAGCUUGCUGCUUUGCUGACGAGUGGCGGACGGGUGAGUAAUGUCUGGGAAACUGCCUGAUGGAGGGGGAUAACUACUGGAAACGGUAGCUAAUACCGCAUAACGUCGCAAGACCAAAGAGGGGGACCUUCGGGCCUCUUGCCAUCGGAUGUGCCCAGAUGGGAUUAGCUAGUAGGUGGGGUAACGGCUCACCUAGGCGACGAUCCCUAGCUGGUCUGAGAGGAUGACCAGCCACACUGGAACUGAGACACGGUCCAGACUCCUACGGGAGGCAGCAGUGGGGAAUAUUGCACAAUGGGCGCAAGCCUGAUGCAGCCAUGCCGCGUGUAUGAAGAAGGCCUUCGGGUUGUAAAGUACUUUCAGCGGGGAGGAAGGGAGUAAAGUUAAUACCUUUGCUCAUUGACGUUACCCGCAGAAGAAGCACCGGCUAACUCCGUGCCAGCAGCCGCGGUAAUACGGAGGGUGCAAGCGUUAAUCGGAAUUACUGGGCGUAAAGCGCACGCAGGCGGUUUGUUAAGUCAGAUGUGAAAUCCCCGGGCUCAACCUGGGAACUGCAUCUGAUACUGGCAAGCUUGAGUCUCGUAGAGGGGGGUAGAAUUCCAGGUGUAGCGGUGAAAUGCGUAGAGAUCUGGAGGAAUACCGGUGGCGAAGGCGGCCCCCUGGACGAAGACUGACGCUCAGGUGCGAAAGCGUGGGGAGCAAACAGGAUUAGAUACCCUGGUAGUCCACGCCGUAAACGAUGUCGACUUGGAGGUUGUGCCCUUGAGGCGUGGCUUCCGGAGCUAACGCGUUAAGUCGACCGCCUGGGGAGUACGGCCGCAAGGUUAAAACUCAAAUGAAUUGACGGGGGCCCGCACAAGCGGUGGAGCAUGUGGUUUAAUUCGAUGCAACGCGAAGAACCUUACCUGGUCUUGACAUCCACGGAAGUUUUCAGAGAUGAGAAUGUGCCUUCGGGAACCGUGAGACAGGUGCUGCAUGGCUGUCGUCAGCUCGUGUUGUGAAAUGUUGGGUUAAGUCCCGCAACGAGCGCAACCCUUAUCCUUUGUUGCCAGCGGUCCGGCCGGGAACUCAAAGGAGACUGCCAGUGAUAAACUGGAGGAAGGUGGGGAUGACGUCAAGUCAUCAUG
rnacentral:rRNA from 1 species